GACAGAGGUGGCAAGCGUUGUUCGGAUUUAUUGGGUGUAAAGGGCAGGUAGGCGGCCUCGCAAGUCUGACGUGAAAUCCCACGGCUCAACCGUGGAACUGCGUUGGAAACUGCAAGGCUUGAGUACCAGAGAGGUAAGGGGAAUUCUCGGUGUAAGGGUGAAAUCUGUAGAUAUCGAGAGGAACACCAGUGGCGAAGGCGCCUUACUGGCUGGUAACUGACGCUGAGCUGCGAAAGCAAGGGGAGCAAACAGG
rnacentral:rRNA from 1 species